UCAAAGUCCGGUUCGUGACUCUGGAACGUGCUGUAGACAUUAUACUCACCCGAUUCUCCCAGCUCUUCAGAUUCACUUUUAGACUGCAAUGACCACUCGCCCCCCCUUAUCCCCUGUGGCCAGCAGAUCCCCCGUCUGGUUAAACUCCACUGUAGAAAUGACAUCAGCUAAAAAGAAAGAAAGAAACAGUUUUUGGUUGAUUUUUUCAGUGAAA